AUGCUGGUACAGGGUUGGUGGCCCGACGACUGCAGGUUUGGCGCUCUUCCCCGUCAACAGCGGCAAAAUUCGUCAGAUCUGGAUCCAGAUUGGCGCGGGGAACAUCCUCGGUCGACACGCCACAUCACCGAGCGCCUGUUCUACAGAAUCAAAGAGUCAGCUUGCAAGGAAGAAACGAUGGACCUGGAGGUAACAAAUUCCUUCAAUUAUCAAAGAGAGCUACGUACGUACUACCGCGCGGCAGGUGUGGUGAGCAAUCUGCAAAUCAUUCAGAAAAAGAGCUACACAGUAUAUAUUCCUUGGCCGUUGAUUCACAGUAAUUAG
rnacentral:rRNA from 1 species